rnacentral:rRNA from 1 species
UUCCGGUUGAUCCUGCCGGAGGUCAUUGCUAUUGGAGUCCGAUUUAGCCAUGCUAGUCGCACGGGUUUAGGCCCGUGGCAAAUAGCUCAGUAACACGUGGUCAAACUACCCUGUCGAGCGCGAUAACCUCGGGAAACUGAGGCUAAUAGCGCAUACGGCUCGAUGCCUGGAACUGGCUCGAGCUCGAAACGCUCCGGCGCGACAGGAUGUGGCUGCGGCCGAUUAGGUAGACGGUGGGGUAACGGCCCACCGUGCCGAUAAUCGGUACGGGUUGUGAGAGCAAGAGCCCGGAGACGGUAUCUGAGACAAGAUACCGGGCCCUACGGGGCGCAGCAGGCGCGAAACCUUUACACUGCACGACAGUGCGAUAAGGGGACUCCAAGUGCGAGGGCAUAUCGUCCUCGCUUUUUCCUACCGUAAGGUGGUAGGCGAAUAAGGGCUGGGCAAGACCGGUGCCAGCCGCCGCGGUAAUACCGGCAGCCCAAGUGAUGACCGCUAUUAUUGGGCCUAAAGCGUCCGUAGCCGGCCGAACAAGUCCGUCGGGAAAUCCGCACGCCUAACGUGCGGGCGUCCGGCGGAAACUGUUCGGCUUGGGACCGGAAGAUCCAGAGGGUACGUCUGGGGUAGGAGUGAAAUCCCGUAAUCCUGGACGGACCACCGGUGGCGAAAGCGCUCUGGAAGGACGGAUCCGACGGUGAGGGACGAAAGCUAGGGUCACGAACCGGAUUAGAUACCCGGGUAGUCCUAGCCGUAAACGAUGUCUGCUAGGUGUGGCGCUGGCUACGAGCCAGCGCUGUGCCGUAGGGAAGCCGUGAAGCAGACCGCCUGGGAAGUACGUCUGCAAGGAUGAAACUUAAAGGAAUUGGCGGGGGAGCACUACAACCGGAGGAGCCUGCGGUUUAAUUGGAUUCAACGCCGGA